AUUGAACGCUGGCGGCAUGCCUUACACAUGCAAGUCGAACGGUAACAGGUCUUCGGAUGCUGACGAGUGGCGAACGGGUGAGUAAUACAUCGGAACGUGCCCGAGAGUGGGGGAUAACGAAGCGAAAGCUUUGCUAAUACCGCAUACGAUCUCAGGAUGAAAGCAGGGGACCGCAAGGCCUUGCGCUCACGGAGCGGCCGAUGGCAGAUUAGGUAGUUGGUGGGAUAAAAGCUUACCAAGCCGACGAUCUGUAGCUGGUCUGAGAGGACGACCAGCAAAACUGGGACUGAGACACGGCCCAGACUCCUACGGGAGGCAGCAGUGGGGAAUUUUGGACAAUGGGCGCAAGCCUGAUCCAGCCAUGCCGCGUGCAGGAUGAAGGCCUUCGGGUUGUAAACUGCUUUUGUACGGAACGAAAAGACGCUGGUUAAUACCUGGGGUCCAUGACGGUACCGUAAGAAUAAGCACCGGCUAACUACGUGCCAGCAGCCGCGGUAACAC
rnacentral:rRNA from 1 species